rnacentral:tRNA from 1 species
GCCCGAGUGGCCGAACUGGCAUAGGCGGCGGACUUAAAAUCCGCUGGGAGAAAUCCCAUGUGGGUUCGAAUCCCACCUCGGGCACCA